GCAUCACAACAACAUUUCACGAGGCAACACCGGUCAACUGCUGUAGGUGUCGCCACCGGCGCCAACCAUGUGUGAGUGCUCUGAAAAGAUGUGGACUGCGAGGCAACUGCAACGCCAUUUAGCCAUUUGGAAACGGUGAAUGGGAAUUGUCCGCCAGGUACCACAUUUCGACGGAACUGUAAUCUGUGCUAUUGCUUGGAGGAUGGUACGUCAGCAGUAUGCGAGGGCCAAUCUUGUAAGGACGUCAUAGGAAUGGAACUUCCACUGAGUAAAAGUGGUGGUGGAGGUGGAGGUGG